ensembl:lncRNA
CAGAGAUGUAAAUGCACACCUUCUUAAAUUGAGCACAGAGGUCUACACGCUGUAAUUUACCAGUCUUGUUCCAGUCCAAGAGUUUGGAGAGGUUGCAGGGUUCGCACAUGCACAGAAAGCUGUUCACUUCUUCAACUUCACGUCUAAGCUCGCGCGGAGACUAUGAUAUAAAGACAAAUUUGAGAAAUUUGAAAACCCUUCCAAAAAUAGUAUUUGGAUAAAAUAUUUGGUUUAAUAAUUUGUCAUUCUUUUUUUAUAUAAUAUUUUUAGUUGUGGCAUUUCUAGAGGCACUACACAUUUCCAUCUAGUUUUCAUUAUCAGGUUAUGUUCCUACAGUGACAGCAUCUGGUGCUGAUGGAACAAUGCAUGUUUCUGGAGGGAGUGAUGACAUCCGCUUAGCUUGUCUCUCUCGUUCCAUAACGAGAACCUCCAAGUCGGUAAGAAUGGGUUUAUUGUGGAGCCAUCUGCGCAUGUCCCCCAUCCCUUCAAGCGCUUCUCUGAACGCUUUCCUGUCCCUGAUCCAGUCCGGGUGCUCCGCGGGUUUGCCUCCAGGGACACGCGAGUAGGACUCGGCGGCGCCUCUGCGGGCAGAUGCAGGUAUAGAAGGUUGAGCGUCUAGUUGUUUCGGCUGUGGACGAGUUGAUAUUUUUAUCUUAUCCAUCAUAUGCUUCCUAAGGGCACCACCACUGCAUUUCUGUGAUCCCAAAGAACCACAUGCCACUUGAAAUAGAAAAGUCUGAGCCAUCAUAAAUAUUGGCGGUUUCCCUAAAGGGGCUGUCUGUCCCGCUGACAUCAUGGUGGUCUCUACUGAUGACUACUGGAGCUUGGGGGGAAAAACACAGUUGAACUACGGAUGUUGUCACUGUACUGCUGCCCGACACGUUCAGAAAAAAAUCUCUACAGGAAGGGGCAAAGAAUUAUAACUAGUCUGUGAGUGUGUGUAGUACAUUUAUGUGUGUAAGCAUGUGAAUGGUCACUUACCCCAUUAUGUGUUGGACAUAUGAGGGAUAUUUAAACUCAGAAGCCCCUCCUCCUUUCUUCUCUACCUCCGCACCUUGAAGAGACAGAAAAACAUGUUUACUGAUGCACUUUUUGUCUUGAACUGGUUUGUUUGAAGUUAUCUAUGCAUACUUUGAUGUUAAAAGGUUUUAUUAUAGGGC